AUGUGGGCAGAGUGAAACGUCUGGGCCGGGCUAAAUGUGGCAGAGUGAAACGUCUGGGCCGGACUCAAUGUGGGCAGAGUGAAACGUCUGGGCCGGGCUCAAUGUGAGCGGAGUAAAACGUCUGGGCCGGGCUCAAUGUGGGCGGAGUCAAACGCAUUUUACCCGAACCUCACCAAGGUCACCCAAAUUUAGGUAAAUGUCGAAGGUAUUAACGUCAACGAAAGCGAAUCUUAAUCUAACCUACAUGGAUACAAAUAGAAACCAUGGAAAAACAGCUUGGAUCAGGGCCUACCAAAGGACGGUUUCUAAAACAAACGUUGAGGUGUUUGUUUUGUUGUACACUCUGUACAUUGCAAUGGAAGCACAGUGGGAUUUCACUGAGGAAACAUGCAGAAAAUUAGGCGACGGUGGUGCCUCGUUCUCCUGCAGAACUUUCCCAUGCUGACCUGAGCCCUAGGACCAUGCCUCAGGACGACCUGGCAUGAUGACUCCUUGCUGUCCCCAGUCCACCUGGCCGUGCUGCUGCUCCAGUUUCAACUGUUCUGCCUGCGGCUAUGGAACCCUGACCUGUUCACCGGACGUGCUACCUGUCCCAGACCUGCCGUUUUCAACUCUCUAGAGACCGCAGGAGUGGUAGAGAUACUCUUAAUGAUCGGCUAUGAAAGGCCAACUGACAUUUACUCCUGAGGUGCUGACUUGCUGCACCCUCAACAACUACUGUGAUUAUUAUUAUUUGACCAUGCUGGUCAUUUAUGAACAUUUGAACAUCUUGGCCAUGUUCUGUUAUAAUCUCCACCCGGCACAGCCAGAAGAGGACUGGCCACCCUCAUAACCUAGAGAGGAACCAGGCUUCUUCCUAGGUUUUGGCCUUUCUAGGGAGUUUUUCCUAGACACCAUGCUUCUACACCUGCAUUACUUGCUGUUUGGGGGUUUUAGGCUGGGUUUCGGUACAGCACUUUGAUAUAUCAGCUGAUGUAAGAAGGGCUAUAUAAAUACAUUUGAUUUGAUUGAGCCUGACCCUGAAUUGCACACUGCAGUCGGGUGCGUUUUGGAGUCCGUAUGGGAGUUGCAGCGAUGAGACAAGACUGUAACUACCAAUUGGAUACCACUUCUUUAAUUCUCCUAAAUAUCACCAUCUACUGUACCCGUGGGCGUUGCUACCACAACUUUCGAUGACGAGUAGCCCCGCUUUACUCUUGGAUUUUAUGUGUGUGUAUAUAUAAAUAUCACAUCACUGGUCUGCUUGAUUCAAAUAGGUUUCCAAACCCCUCACUAGGAUAUUUCACUGCAAAAUGAUACGUGCGUGAUACGUGGAUUCAGCAUGCCCCAAUACAUUCUGAAUACUGUUGUGAUGGUUGAGAUUUUUACCCCAAGUAUAUAACAUGCAAACAUUUUAUUUGGCAUGAGUAAAGUUACUAAAAAUAUAAAAGCCAACACAAGAAGCUAAAACAAUCACAAAAACAUCAACUGUAGCAUAAUUAACUUUACAGAAAACAUUGAUUCACUUCAAUAUGUACAACAUAAAAUAAAUCUAAGAAUCCCAAAUGAAGCAACAAACAUAGCACCUAUCAUGAGCCGUCUGAAUUAUUAAAGUAGUGUGAAAUUGUUUCUGAAAGUCAACAGCUGAAGCCUAUAAUGGAAAAUUAAUAUCUGUCAUGAUGGACAUACCCUACCUAAAUCUUCUAUAAAAGUCUGAGGUGACCCCUUUUUAAUUGAAGUCCAAAAUCCAAAUGAAACAUAUCCCUCAAGUUCAGUAAUAGUCUGUUAAAGCUGUGUUCAUAUAGAACAAGACGGUCUGUGAUCAAAUGGCCUGCAUCACUGUGAGCUGGCACACUGCAUACUCCAUAUUCUUCUUAAAGACUUGGUAGGAUGGCACCACAGGCAGCACCAGGUGGUUAGAGCUGGGUUGGCUCUUGGGAAAGGCCCCGGCAGGGUCCAGGGGGUUGAGGAAGGAUACGGUGGGGUUGGGGCUGAACCCUAUGGCUGGCACCACAUCAGCGGAUGUGGCAUAGAUGAGCACGUCCUCUAGCGAUGUUGCACAUCUGCCAACUGUAACCAGUGAACAGAGACUGGUGAGGAUGGGUAAUAUAUGGAGAUAGACAGGGACAUUCAUGUGCUUGUGUUAGUUUUACUGAAUAGACUUGUAAUAGUAGUGUACACUGUCUGAAUGGCCUUUGAGUGUGUAUUUUUAAUCACAUAUAUCAAUCAGUCAUUGGAGGUCAAAGUACCUUCACACUCCACUAGGUAGUGUCUCCAGAAGGUGACCACAGCACUCUCCUUCCCUGUGGUCUCUUCCUGUUCUGAAAACUUAACAGUGAAGAGGGCAGACAUGGUCUCAGCAGUCAGCUUGUCAGGAGAGGAACAGAACAGACUAACAAAGGCCCCCGGAAACAUCUGGACCUGGUCAAACACACCAAGGGUUUUCAAACCUUCACAGAACCUAAAAACACAAAAAGGUUCAACAAAAUAUAGUUAAAGGCCCAGUAAAAUCCAAAUUGUGAUCUUGCUGAGUGAUAUAUAUAUAUCCAUCCACACUAUGAGGUUGGAAUAAUACUGUUAAAAUUAUGAUAAUGCCCUUUUAGUGUAAGAGCUGUUUGAAAAGACCCCCCUGAAAUCUCAGCCAGUUUUGGCCUGCCUGGUGACAUCACCAAGCGGUAAAUUAGUUAAUCAACCAAUAAGAAAAAGUUCAAACCUCUCUGCCAAUAACAGCUAGUUUUACAUUUUCCACUCCCCACAAGACCAGUACCAGACAGUUCUAGCAAAACUCUUGCUUGAGAAAUUGCUCUUUGCUAAGAAGCUAUUUUGGUUUAUUUUUUACCAUUUUAAUUGAAAACGAGUAACACGGAACCCAAACCGGCUGCACGCGUGCGCCAUCAUGCAUACAUUUAUUUUGUCCCCCUACACCAAACACGAUCACGACACGCAGGUUAAAAUAUCAAAACUAACUCUGAACCAAUGACAUUAAUUUGGGGACAGGUCGAAAAGCAUUAAACAUGUAUGGCAAUUUAGCUAGUUAGCUUGCACUUGCUAACUAAUUUGUCCUAUUAAGCUAGCUUGCUGUUGCUAGCUAAUUUGUCCUGGGAUAUAAACAUUGAGUUAUUUUACCUGAAAUGCACAAGGUCCUCUACUCCGACAAUUAAUCCACACAUAAAAUGGGCAACCGAAUAAUUUCUAGUCAUCUCUCCUCCUUCCAGGCUUUUUCAUCUUUGAACUUAAAUGGUGAUUGGCAUCUACACUUUUACCACGACAACCAGCAAAACAUUUUGUCUUUCAAUCACCCACGUGGGUAUAACCAAUGAGUAGAUGGCAUGUGGAUACCUGCUUCUUUAAACCAAUGAGGAGAUGGGAGAGGCAGGACUUGCAGCGCGAUCUGCGUCAGAAAUAGAAAGGAGUUCAAUUUUAGCCCUUGGCAUCGCAGACGCUCGUUGGCGCGCACGAGCAGUGUGGGUGCAAUAAUUGAAUAGCAUGGAUUUCUACAUUUAUUUUGCAACACUCGCGCACGUGACAUGUCCGGUCUGGUCAGCAUGUAAGGUACUUAAUUGUUACCCAGAAAUGGCUGCAGUGGACCUUUAACAUAUAGUUAACAAAACCCUGGCUCACAAUGUCUUAAACAUAGUUAAAGUGCAUUCGCACCCCUUGACUUUUUCCUCAAUCUACACACAAUACCCCAUAAUGACAAAGCGAAAACUGGUUCAGAAAUGUUUGCAAAUGUAUUUAAAAUAAAAAACAGAUACCUUAUUUACAAAAGUAUUCAGACCCUAAGCUAUGAGACUCGAAACUGAGCUCAGGUGCAUCCUGCUUCCAUUGAUCAUCCUUGAGAUGUCUCUACAACUUGGAGUCCACCUGUGUAAAUUCAAUUGAUUGGACAUGAUUUGGAAAGGCACACACCUGUCUAUAUAAGGUCCCACAGUUGACAGUGCAUGUCAGAGCAAAAACCAAGCAUUGAGGUCGAGGGAAUAGUCUGUAGAACUCAGACAGGAUUGUGUCGAGGCACAGAUCUGGGGAAGGGUACCAACAAAUGUCUGCAGCAUUGAAGGUUCCCAAGAACACAGUGGCCACCAUCACUCUUAAAUGGAAGAAGUUUGGAACCACCAAGACUCUUCCUAGAGCUGACCGCCCGGCCAAACUGAGCAAUCUGUGGAGAAGGGCCUUGGUCAGGGAGGUGACCAAGAACCAGAUGGUCACUCUGACUGAGCUCCAAAGUUCCUCUGUGGAGAUGGGAGAACCUUCCAGAAGGACAACCAUCUCUGCAGCACUCCAUCAAUCAGACCUUUAUGGUAUAGUGACCAGACGGAAGCCACAUGACAGCCAGCUUGGAGUUGGCCAAAAGGCACCUAAAGGACUCUCAGACCAUGAGAAACAAGAAUUCUCUGGUCUGAUUAAACCAAGAUCAAACUCUUUGGCCUGAAUGCCAAGCAUCACGUCUGGAGGAAACCUGGCACCAUCCCUAUGAUGAACCAUGGUGGUGGCAGCAGCAUCAUGCUGUGGGGAUAUUUUUCAGCGGCAGGGACUGGGAGACUAGUCAGGAUCAAGGCAAAGAUGAACGGAGCAAAGUACAGAGAGGUCCUUAAUGAAAACCUGCUCCAGAGCACUCAGGACCUCAGACUGGGGCGAAAGUUCACCUUCCAACAGAACAACAACUAAGCACACAGCCAAGAAAUCGCAGAAUUGGCUUCGAGACAAGUCUUUGAAUGUCCUUGAAUGGCCCGGCCAGAGUCGACUCGAACCAAUUGAACAUCUCUGGAGAGACCUGACUGGGGCGAAGGUUCACCUUCCAACAGGACAAUGACCCUAAGCACACAGCCAAUACAACGCAGGAGUGGCUUCGGGACAAGUCGAACAUCUCUGGAGAGACCUGAAAAAAGCUGUGCAGCGACACUCCCCAUCCAAUCUGACAGCACUUGAGAGGAUCUGCAGAGAAUGGGAGAAACUCGCCAAAAACAGGUGUGCCAAGCAUGCAGCGUCAUACCCAAGACGACUCGAGGCUGUAAUCACUGCCAGAGGUCCUGGAAACCGUCAAAGGGUCUGAAUACUUACCGAAUGCACUGUAUAGUAGAAUUCUAACCUUUUAAAAUAGUCUACGUUUACGUACUGUAUAUACUGUACCAGUCAAAAUUUGACACACCUACUCAUUCAAGGGUUUUUCUUUAUUUUUUCUAUUUUCUACAUUGUAGAAUAAUAACGAACACAUCAAAACUAUGAAAUAACACAUGUAGUAACCAAAAAAAUGUUAAACAAAUGUAAAUAUAUUUUAGAGUCUUCAAAGUAGCCACCCUUUGCCUUGAUUACAGCUCUGCAGACUCUUGGCAUUCUUUCAACCAGCUUCACAUGGAACGCUUUUCCUACAGUCUUGAUUGAGUUCCCACAUAUGUUGAGAAUUUGUUGGCUGCUUUUCCUUCACUCUGCGGUCCAACUCAUCCCAAACCAUCUCAAUUGGGUUGAGGUCGGGUGAUUGGAGGCCAGGUCAUCUGAUGCAGCACUCCAUCACUCUCCUUCUUGGAGGUGUGUUGGGUCACAUUUGAAAUAUUUUAAAUGGGUUUGGAAGAACAGGGAAAGAAAAGGGAAAGAAAAUACUUAAUAGGGCUGACUGACCUAUGAUCUCUGUUCUGACAUCCUGGUGAGGCCCGAUCACCUUCGCUAGAAACACUGAAGACAUUGGGUGAGAUUUACAGUUGAAGUCGGAAGUUUACAUACACUUAGGUUGGAGUCAUUAAAACUCGUUUUUCAACCACUCCACAUAUUUCUUGUUAACAAACUAGUUUUGGCAAGUCGGUUUGGACAUCUACUUUGUGCAUGACACAAGUAAUUUUUCCAACAAUUGUUAACAGACAGAUUAUUUUACAAUUCCAGUGGAUCAGAAGUUUCCAUACACUAAAUUGACAGUGUCUUUAAACAGCUUGGAAAAUUCCAGAAAAUUAUGUCAUGGCUUUAGAAGCCUCUGAUAGGCUAAUUGACAUCAUUUGAGUCAAUUGCAGGUGUACCAGUGGAUGUAUUUCAAGGCCUACCUUUAAACUCAAUGCCUCUUUGCUUGACAUUAUGGAAAAAUCAAAAGAAAUCAGCCAAGACCUCAGAUUUUUUUUUGAGACAUCCAACAGUCUGAUUCAUCCUUGGGAGCAAUUUCCAAAUUCCUAAGGUACAACGUUCAUCUGUACAAACAAUAGUAUGCAAGUAUAAACACCAUGGAACCACGCAGCCGUCAUACCGCUCAGGUAGGAGACGCAUUCUGUCUCCUAGAGAUUAAGGUAAUUUGGUGAGAAAAGAGCAAAUCAAUCCCAGAACAACAGCAAAGGACCCUGUGAAGAUGCUGGAGGAAACAGGUACAAAAGUAUCUAUAUCAACAGUAAAACGAGUCCUAUAUCGACAUAACCUGAAAGGCCGCUCAGCAAGGAAGAAGACACUGCUCCAAACCCACCAUAAAAAAGCCACACUACGGUUUGCAACUGCACAUGGGGACAAAGAUCGUACUUUUUGGAGAAAUGUCCUCUGGUCUGAUGAAACAAAAAAAAAUGGCCAUAAUGACCAUCAUUAUAUUUGGAGGAAAAAGGGGGAGGCCUGCAAGCCGAAGAACACCAUCCUAACCGUGAAGCACGGGGGUGGAAGCAUCAUGUUCUGGGGGUGCUUUGCUGCAGGAGGGACUGGUGCACUUCACAAAAUAGAUGGCAUCAUGAGCAUGGAAAAUUAUGUGGAUAUAUUGAAGCAACAUCUCAAGACAUCAGUCAGGAAGUUAAAAAGCUUGGUCACAAAUGGGUCUUAGAAAUGGACAAUGACCCCAAGCAUACUUCCAAAGUUGUGGCAAAAUAGCUUAAGGACAACAAAGUCAAGGUAUUGGAGUGGCCAUCACAAAGCGCUGACCUCAAUCCCAUAGAAAAUUUGUGGGCAGAACUGAAAAGUAAAGAACUUUAAGGUCGUCUCUCAAUUUAAAAAACAUGUCAAUAGUUUGCCCCUUGAUAACCAGCGCACUUCUGUAUGUUGUAAAAGCCUUACAUGGUCUUUGCCAAUAUCAUUGCAUAGUGCAGAAAAUACACAAGAAUUCAGGGGCCUUGCUUUAACUUCUUUGGGAAAGGGGGGCAGUAUUGAGUAACUUGGAUGAAUAAGGUGCCCAGAGUAAACUGCUUGUUACCCAGGCCCAGAGGCUAUGAUAUGCUUAUGAGUAGUAGAUUUGGAUAAAAACUCUAAAGUUUCCAAAACUUUAGAGUUAAAAUUAAUUAAAAUAAUAAUAAUAACAAUAGAACUCAUAUGGCAGGCGAAAACCUGAGACAAAUCCAACCAAGGAAGUGGGAAAUCUGAGGUUUGUAGUUUCAUUUAACUUCUCUAGGAUAGGGGGCAGCAUUUUCAUUUUUCGAUAAAUAGCGUGCCCAAUUUCAACUUCCUUCUACUCAUCCCCAGAAUAUAAGAUAUGCAUAUUAUUAGUAGAUUUGGAUAGAAAACACUCUGAAGUUUCUAAAACUGUUUGAAUCAUGUCUGUGAGUAUAACAUAAGUUAUGUAGCAGGCAAAACCCAGAGGACUAAAAAUUCAGAUUUAUUUAUUUUUUUGGUCACUGUCUGUUCAAUGAAAUUUCAUUGGGAUACUAGAUUUCUAAUCAACCUGUUUGCAGUUCCCACCGCUUCCACUGGAUGUCACCAGUCUUUGGAAAUUGGUUGAGGUUAUUCCUUUGUGCAAUGAAGAAGUACGGCCAUCUGGAAUCAGUGUAACGUUAUGUGUACUGUUUGAGAGUUGCGCAAGACUAGAAAAGUAGCGUUAGUUUGUUGUCCUCCUGUAUUGAAAACAAAUAGACUCGUCUUCAAUUUGAUCGAUUAUUAACGUUUAAAAAUACCUAAAGUUGUAUUACAAAAGUAGUUUGAAAUGUUUUGGCAAAGUUUAGAGGUAAUGUUUGAGAUAUUUUUUAGUGACAUUGCGCAAAUUGGAAGCUGUUUUUUUCUGGAUCAAACGCACCAAAUAAAUGGACAAUUUGGAUAAAUAUGGACGGAAUUAGUCAAACAAACGGACCAUUUGUGAUGUUUAUGGGACAUAUUGGAGUGCCAACAAAAGAAGCUCGUCAGAGGUAAGGCAUGAUUUAUAUUUUAUUUCUGCGUUUUGUGUUGCACCUGCAGGGUUGAAAUAGGCUACACUCUCUUUGUUUACUGUUGUGCUAUCAUCAGAUUAUAGCAUCUUAUGCUUUCGCCGAAAAGCCUUUUUGAUAUCUGACAUGCUGGCUGGAUUCACAACGAGUGUAGCUUUAAUUUGGUAUCUUACAUGUGUGAUUUAAUGAAAGUUUAAUUUGGCGCUCUACAUUUUCCCUGGCUAUUGGCCAAGUGAGCGUCCCACAUAUCCCAGAGAGGUUAAGUGAUUGCCUAUCUAAUAUGCUGUGUCUAUGGGGCCAGAUUGCACUUCCCAGGGCUUCCAGCAGGUGUCAACAGUCUUUAGAAAGUUGUUUGAGGCUUCUAUUGUGGAAGGGGGUCGAAUAAGAGCUGUUUCAACAAGUGGACUAAGGUGUGGCCAAUGAGUUGUUAAGAUACCAACUGCGCGGUCACGCCGUUCCUUCUUUUUCCUCUGUAAUGAAUAUGCUAUUGUCCGGUUGGAAUGUUAUUGAAGAUUUAUUAUAAAAAGACCAUAAGGAUUGAUUGUAAACAUCGUUUGACAUGUUUCUACAAACUGUAAUGGAACUCUUGACUUUUCCUCUGGAUGUUGCGCUCGCGCAUUGUGCCUUUGGAAUAGUGAACUAAACGCGCAAACAAAACGGAGGUAUUUGGACAUAAAUAUGGACGUAAUCGAACAAAACAAACAUUUCUUGUGGAAGUGGGAGUCCUGGGAGUGCAUUCCGAUGAAGAUCAGCAAAGUGAAGAUUUAUAAUGCUAUUUCUGACUUUUGUUGACUCCACAAUUUGGCGGGUAACUGUAUGGCCAAAGAAAUAUCCGCCAUGUUGUGCAGUCAACAGUCAGAAAUAGCAUUAUAAAUAUUCACUUAUCUUUGAUGAUCUUCAUCAGAAUGCACUCCCAGGGAUCCCAGUUCCACAAUAAAUGUUUGAUUUGUUCGAUAAAGUUAAUCAUUUAUGUCCAAACACCUCCUUUUGUUAGAACGUUUAGUAAACAAAUUGUAACUCACGAGGCGCGGACAAGUCCAGCGGGAAUGUCGGACGAAAAUUCCAAAAAGUUAUAUUAGUUGUCGUAGAAACAUAUCAAACGAUGUAUAGAAUCAAUCUUUAGGAUGUUUUUAUCAUAAAUGUUCAAUAAUGUCCCAACCGGAGAAUUCCUUUGUCUGUAGAAAAGCAAUGGAACGAGAGCUACUUCUCACAUGAACGAGCGUCAAGUUUGUGGCACUCUGCCAGACCACUGACUCAAAGAGCCCUUAUGAGCCCCUCCUUUAUAGUAGAAGCCUCAAACAAGUUUCUAAAGACGGUUGACAUCUAGUUGAAGCCUUAGGAAGCGCAAAAUGACCCCAUAGGCACUGGGUAUUCGAUAGGCCAAGCUUUGAAAAACUACAAACCUCAGAUUUCCCACUUCCUGGUUGGAUUUCUCAGGUUUUCGCCUGCCAUAUGAGUUCUGUUUUACUCACAGACAUCAUUCAAAUAGUUUUAGAAACUUCCGAGUGUUUUCUAUCCAAAUCUACUAAUAAGAUGCAUAUAUUAGUAACUGGGACUGAGUAGCAGGCAGUUUACUCUGGGCACGCUUUUCAUCCAAAUGUGAAAAUGCUGCCCCCUAUCCAUAAGAAGUUAACAUACAAGCUUUUGUCUACUAUGUUCCGUCAAUUUUCUACACAUCUGCUAACUGUCAUAUAGAUAAGAUGAGGCACUUUCUAUAAAAUGAGAGGGACAACUGUGUUCAUUGAGCUUUUAACUAUGCACUGUUGAGUGGAUGGUUGAUUCUCCAUUUUGCAAAUCUUAUAAUAAAGUGUUGUUUAAAAUAAUCUGCAGUCUCUCUUCCCUUUGAUUAGAAUUACCAGGACAGUGGCUACUUUGAAGAAUCUCAAAUAUAAAAUAUAUUUUGAUUUGUUUAAUACUUUUUUGGUUACUACAUGAUUCCAUAUGUGUUAUUUCAUAGUUUUGAUGUCUUCACUAUUAUUCUACAAUGUAGAAAAUAGUAAAAAUAAAGAAAAACCCUGGAAUGAGUAGGUGUGUCCAAACUUUUGACUGGUACUGUAUGUUUGAGAAACAAUAAAAACAAAUUGAGAAAUGGUGAGACUAGGGAUGCAUGAAAUAUAGGUGAACAUAUCAGAAUCAGCUGAUAUUAGCUAAAAAUGCCAACAUUGGUCUGAUGUCUAGUUCAACGCUGAUGUGCAUACCUAUGUAACAUGACGUAAUGACGGCAAGUAAAAUUUUGCAACACAGCAUUUCUAACCUAGCCCACAAUGUCUGCUGUGUGGAUCUAGCAGUCCCUUUAUUAGCCAGUCUGAGAUAUGGCUUUUUCUGUGCAACUCUGCCUAGAAGCCCAUCUACUGCUCAGUUGUGCACCGGGGCCUCCCACUCCUCUUUCUAUUCUGGUUAGCCAGUUUGCGCUGUUCUGUGAAGGGAGUAGUACACAGCGUUGUACGAGAUCUUCAGUUUCUUGACAAUUUCUCGCAUGGAAUAGCCUUCAUUUCUCAGAACAAGAAUAGACUGAAGAGUUUCAGAAGAAAGUUCUUUGUUUCUAGCCAUUUUGACCCAGUAAUCGAACCCACAAAUGCUGAUGCGCCAGAUGCUCAACUAGUCUAAAGACCAGUUUUAUUGUUUCUUUAAUCAAAACAACAGUUUUCAGCUACAAUAGUUAUUUACAACAUUAACUAUGUCUACACUGUAUUUCUGAUCAAUUUGAUAUUAGUUUAAUAGACAAAAAAGGUGCUUUUCUUUCAAAAGUGACCCCAAACCUUUGAACGGUAGUGUACGUAAAUGCCAACAAAAUAACUUUUUGGUCAGUGUGGUGUGUGUGUGUAACCUUUAUUUAACUAGGCAAGUCAGUUAAGAACAAAUUCUUAUUUACAAUGACGGCCUACCCAGGCCAAACCCGGACAACGCUGGGCCAAUUGUGCGCCGCCCUUUGGGACUCCCAAUUACGGUCGGAUGUGACACAGCCUGGAUUCAAACCAGGGACUGUAGUGACGCCUCUUGCACUGAGAUGCAGUGCUUUAACACACACACAUGGACGCAGCGGUCUAACUAUUUAACUGUACUAUAAUGAUUAAAAGGACGCCAUUGUUUUAAUAUAUCGGUUAUCGGUAUUGUUUUUUUUUGCCAAGGAAAAUAUUGGAUAUCGGUAUCGGCCAAAAAUGUCAUAUCGUUGCAUCACUAGGUGAAACGGUCAAAAAGGUACUCGUAAAAACAUCGACAUACGAACCUUUGGAAGGGUAACUGCAUUCUUGUGAUUAGGUGGAAGCUCACAAUAUCUUCAACAAGUGUGUCUUUGUCAGAAAGGCUGUCAACUGGUCUCAUGCACCCAGCCACUUCCAGGUAUUCUGAAGCUGACUGCAUUGCCCCUCUCAAUUCUUCCAAGGAUCUAGAUUCCUGAAUCUGAAGCAAAAGAGUUGGCAAAUGAGUUAAAGCCUUCCAGUGCUUCCCCUAGGAUUUCUUUCUUUCUGUGAGAAUGGCUGUGAGAAGGUCACUUCUGUUGACAUUUUUAAAGGACAUUCUACUCCAAGAAAAAUGUAUAAUAUAACCUGUAAUCCAACUGAUGCAGCAUAGCUGCUUUAAAUAAAUAUGCUGAAGCAUGGCGUUGCCCA